rnacentral:rRNA from 1 species
GACGAACGCUGGCGGCGUGCUUAACACAUGCAAGUCGAACGGAAAGGCCCUGCUUUUGUGGGGUGCUCGAGUGGCGAACGGGUGAGUAACACGUGAGUAACCUGCCCUUGACUUUGGGAUAACUUCAGGAAACUGGGGCUAAUACCGGAUAGGAGCUCCUGCUGCAUGGUGGGGGUUGGAAAGUUUCGGCGGUUGGGGAUGGACUCGCGGUUUAUCAGCUUGUUGGUGGGGUAGUGACUUACCAAGGCUUUGACGGGUAGCCGGCCUGAGAGGGUGACCGGCCACAUUGGGACUGAGAUACGGCCCAGACUCCUACGGGAGGCAGCAGUGGGGAAUAUUGCACAAUGGGCGGAAGCCUGAUGCAGCAACGCCGCGUGCGGGAUGACGGCCUUCGGGUUGUAAACCGCUUUCGCCUGUGACGAAGCGUGAGUGACGGUAAUGGGUAAAGAAGCACCGGCUAACUACGUG